UGAUUGUCGUUUUCUGUUUGCUCACGAUGGGAAAAGACGAAACUGGUGAAACACAGACAGUGCAACCAGAAUCCCGUUCUUUGGGAAAUCGGAUUCCUGUCCCCAGAAAUCAUUUGUGUUGUCAUUGGUAGAAAAGGUCGGGAGUUCAGGGUGAGGAAGACUCGCCUUACUUCCUCCUUUUAAAACCCCUCCUCACGGAAACGACCCCAGACUUAAUUUAAGAAGUCAAUCAGUGCUUAACAGCGGUUCAAGGUAAUUAGCACGGGAAGCGGGGAUGGGAGGGGCUGCUAUAAUUAAUAUGUAUUGGUUUGAAUUAAUCAAUAAAGGCAUUUUUGAUCACCUGUGAAUUUGCAGUUCAUAUUAGAAGAUUAUCUCUAAUUAAUACACACACUUUCUAACUUUCAGUUGUUAGAGAGUCUUUUGUUGAGUGUCGGUGUUGGACAAUAAUCGCAUUUUCGGUGAAUCGCUCUCCCCGCAGCCUCGCUGGGCACGCUGGAGGUUCUGUCGCUCGUGGUCAGCCUGAUCCUGGCGGCCAUCGCGGCCACGUCCUCCUUCAUCUACAGGUGAGGGCGGUAUUGGUUUGAAUUAAUCAAUAAAGGCAUUUUUGAUCACCUGUGAAUUUGCAGUGCGUGUUAGAGGAUGUCCCCUCCCCGUGGCACACGGGUGUCCCUGUGCCCGUGACACGCAGGUGUCCCCGUGGCACACAGGUGUCCCUGUCCCCAUGGCACACAGGUGUCCCUGUGGCACACAGGUGUCCCUGUCCCCGUGGCACACAGGUGUCCCCGUGGCACACAGGUAUCCCUGUCCCCGUGGCACACAGGUGUCCCUGUGGUACCCAGGUGUCCCUGUCCCCGUGGCACAUAGACGUCCCCAUGGCUCACAGGUGUCCCCGUGGCACACAGGUGUCCCUGUCCCCAUGGCACACAGGUGUCCCCAUGGCAGACAGGUGUCCCUGUCCCCAUGGCACAUAGGUGUCCCCAUGGCACACAGGUGUCCCCGUGGCACACAGGUGUCCCCGUGGCAGACAGGUGUCCCUGUCCCCAUGGCACAUAGGUGUCCCCAUGGCACACAGGUGUCCCCGUGGCACACAGGUGUCCC
rnacentral:lncRNA from 1 species